GACCGGCAGCCGGGAGACGCUCUCACUGUCUCCAUCCCGCCGGCCUUCCCAGCAGUCCCCGCGCCGCCUUAAAGGUGAAGCCGCUACCUCUGCGCCGUCGGCGGGCUGGCUGCCUUAAAGGAGCGCCGGGAAAUCGACCCCGGCUACCUUUCUGGAGUCGCUCCGGAGAUGGCGAAUCGUAAAGCACCCAGUGCAGCGGCCAAAGAGGAAGAUAGUAGAAGAUGAGGCGCAGGGAAACGGCCCGACCAAAGCGAGAGACAGUUCGUUUAUUGAGAUAGUUACCAUCUAUUUUCUUUUGAGUCAGGGUCUCCCUAUGUAGUUUAGGCUGGCUUUGAACUCACUAGGUAGCGCAGGCUGGCCUGGAACUCAAAACAAUCCUGCCUCGGCCUCCCAAGUGCUGGGAUUACAGGCGUGCACCACCAUGCCUGGCCCACUGAGCGCUUCCUGAGGUGCCAAUUUACAUGCAUUUUAUGUUAAUGUUCACAAGGACUCCUUGAAGUGUGUGCUGGGUUAUCUUCACCUCACCCAGCCAACCCAGGCACAUUUGGCCUGCAGACGUGAGCACCGCUUCUUCUCAGCCGCCCAAGACCCUGUAGAAAACCUACAGCGGUUUUCUUCUUCCUCUUUUAUUUAUGUAUUUAUUUAGAGACAGGGUCUCACUGUGUGAUUCAGGGUGACCCUGAACCCACUCACUGUAUAGCCCAGGCUGGCCUGGAACUCACUGCUAUCCUCCUGCUUCAGCCUCUUCAGUGCUGACAUUACAGAAAUGUGCCACCGUGCCCAGCUUUUUAAAGUUUUUGAAAAAUUUUUAUUAUUAGUAGUGUAUGUUUGCAGUACAUAAUUCAUCAUGGUGGAUUUGUACACAUACAUAUCUAAAUUCUUUUUUUGUUCCCCUUCCCCUCCCCAUUUACAAAAGCUCUAUUUCCAUUCUUUCCCCUAAAGUUCUUUUUCCCUUUAAGUCCGCUUUCCCUUCCUUUUCUCCUCCCCCAUUUCUUGUUCCUCUUCCCAUGUUCUUCCUGCUUCCUAGUAUGUGACCUCCAUUUUGCUCCUUAUUAAUACUUUGGAUUUCUCACACAACAGAAACAAUGUGAUAUUUAAAUUGUGUGUCUGAUUUAUUUCACUUAUGAGUAUGGUCUUGAGGUAUAUCCAUUUACAUAAAAAUGUCUCAAGUUUAUCCUUUAUGGCAGAAUAGUACUCCACUGUAUGUAAGUAGCACAUUGUUAAGUGUUCAGAUAAGAAGGGGAACGAGGGAGAGGGAGAGGGAAAGAAAGAAGGGACAAGGAAAAAAAAAAGAAUAGGAGAAGAAAAAGCUUUUGUAAAUAAGACGGGGCGGGGGUUGGGAAUUUAGCUCAGCGGCAUAAGCGCCUGCCUUGCAAGCAGGCAGUCGUGAGUUCGAUCCCCGGUACCAAUAAAAAGGAAAAAAAGAUUAAAAAAAAAAAAAAAAAAAAAAAGACGGGGCGGGGUAGGAUUGAAGGGUGAGGAGGGGAAUGGGAAAAAAGCAAGAUAUGUCAUGUACACGUACAAAUUCCCUAUGAUGAAUGUUAUCGUUAUGUAUUUUGAAAUGUACCUAUAAAAAAUAUCACUUUUAUUGUCCAUUCAUCUGUUGAUGGCAUAUGGGCUGUUUCCAGGAUUUCGCUAUUAUACAUUGUGCUGCUAUAAACAUGGAUCUGCAUGUAUUGCUAUGGUAUGAUGACUUUGACUCUUUCAGGAAGAUACCUACAAGGCAAAUAGCAGAGUCAAUAGAAUCUCUAGUUUUAGUUUUUUGGAGAGUCCCAUACUGUUUUACGUAGUGGUUGUACCAGUUUAUUCUCCCACCAACAAUGGGGGGGGGUACCUUUUUCCCCCUGAAGCCUCCCUGGCAUUUGUUAUUGAUUUUUUUUUUUUUUUGUCUUUUUCGUUUUUAUCGGUAUCGGGGAUCUAACUCACGACUGCCUGCUUGCAAGGCAGGCGCUUAUGCCACUGAGCUAAAUCCCCAGCCCUGUAGCUUGUAAAUUUGAUGUCAUCCCAUUUGUUGAUAUUUUGGUAAAAUUUCAUAUGCAACUGGGGUUUUGUUCAAAAAAUCUUUGCCUCCACCUGUGUCUUCCAGAGUUUUACCUUGUCUUUCAGGAGAUGAAACAUUUCUGUUUUAAUAUUUAAUCUUUGAUUCAUUUCAGUUUUAGUUUAGUGCAUGGUCUUAUUUCAAUCUGCAGCAUGUAAAAAAAACAGUUUUCCCAGAGCCAUUUAUUAAAGAGGCUUGCUUUCUUUUA